GUGAAGGAAAAUAAAAGGAAUAUCGAAUUUGCUUUGUAGCAUUUGUUUUUUCUUUGGAAGUAUCCUAUUUUCAGCUACUUCAAAUUUUAUUCUAUUAUUUCCCCUUCUUCUAUUAUUAUUUGCCCCCUCCCUUUUGCCUUUCGGUCCAAAAACUGUCUUCUUUAUCAACUGCUGAUAAAUUGAAGCUGCUUCUCUUCAUUCCUCACUGUUUGUUUCUGAGCCUUGUUCUUUCUUAGCUGCCAUGUCAUUCAGGGGACUAAGCCGGCCCAAUGCAACGUCAGGGAUGGGCGUUGCUGAUCACAGCAUAAACACAUUCUUGGAACUGAAGAGGAAGAAGGUCCACCGAUAUGUGGUGUUUAAAAUUGAUGAGAAGAAGAAAGAGGUUGUGGUUGAGAAAACUGGUGGCCCUGCUGAGAGCUAUGAGGAUUUCACUGCUUCUUUGCCAGAGAAUGAUUGCCGAUAUGCUGUAUAUGACUUUGAUUUUGUGACUUCUGAGAAUUGUCAGAAGAGCAAGAUCUUCUUCAUUGCAUG
rnacentral:misc_RNA from 1 species